AUUGAACGCUGGCGGCAGGCCUAACACAUGCAAGUCGAGCGAGCGGCGGACGGGUGAGUAAUGUAUGGGGACUGCCCGAUAGAGGGGGAUAACUACUGGAAACGGUGGCUAAUACCGCAUACUAUCGGAUAACCAAUAUGGGAUUCGCUAGUAGGUGGGGUAAAGGCUCACCUAGGCGACGAUAUCUAGCUGGUCUGAGAGGAUGAUCAGCCAAACUGUGACUGUGACACUGCCCAGACUCCUACGGUGGCAGCAGUGGGGAAUAUUGCGAAAUGGGCGCAAGCCUGAUGCAGCCAUGCCGCGUGUAUGAAGAAGGCCUUAGGGUUGUAAAGUACUUUCAGCGGGGAGGCGUUACCCGCAGAAGAAGCACCGGCUAACUCCGUGCCAGCCGCCGCGGUAAUUC
rnacentral:rRNA from 1 species